rnacentral:rRNA from 1 species
GACGAACACUGGCGGCGUGCUUAACACAUGCAAGUCGAACGGAAAGGCCCUGCUUUUGUGGGGUGCUCGAGUGGCGAACGGGUGAGUAACACGUGAGUAACCUGCCCUUGACUUUGGGAUAACUUCAGGAAACUGGGGCUAAUACCGGAUAGGAGCUCCUGCUGCAUGGUGGGGGUUGGAAAGUUUCGGCGGUUGGGGAUGGACUCGCGGCUUAUCAGCUUGUUGGUGGGGUAGUGGCUUACCAAGGCUUUGACGGGUAGCAGGCCUGAGAGGGUGACCGGCCACAUUGGGACUGAGAUACGGCCCAGACUCCUACGGGAGGCAGCAGUGGGGAAUAUUGCACAAUGGGCGGAAGCCUGAUGCAGCAACGCCGCGUGCGGGAUGACGGCCUUCGGGUUGUAAACCGCUUUCGCCUGUGACGAAGCGUGAGUGACGGUAAUGGGUAAAGAAGCACCGGCUAACUACGUGCCAGCAGCCGCGGUGAUACGUAGGGUGCGAGCGUUGUCCGGAUUUAUUGGGCGUAAAGGGCUCGUAGGUGGUUGAUCGCGUCGGAAGUGUAAUCUUGGGGCUUAACCCUGAGCGUGCUUUCGAUACGGGUUGACUUGAGGAAGGUAGGGGAGAAUGGAAUUCCUGGUGGAGCGGUGGAAUGCGCAGAUAUCAGGAGGAACACCAGUGGCGAAGGCGGUUCUCUGGGCCUUUCCUGACGCUGAGGAGCGAAAGCGUGGGGAGCGAACAGGCUUAGAUACCCUGGUAGUCCACGCUGUAAACGGUGGGUACUAGGUGUGGGGUCCAUUCCACGGGUUCCGUGCCGUAGCUAACGCUUUAAGUACCCCGCCUGGGGAGUACGGCCGCAAGGCUAAAACUCAAAGGAAUUGACGGGGCCCCGCACAAGCGGCGGAGCAUGCGGAUUAAUUCGAUGCAACGCGUAGAACCUUACCUGGGUUUGACAUGGAUCGGGAGCGCUCAGAGAUGGGUGUGCCUCUUUUGGGGUCGGUUCACAGGUGGUGCAUGGCUGUCGUCAGCUCGUGUCGUGAGAUGUUGGGUUAAGUCCCGCAACGAGCGCAACCCUUGUUCACUGUUGCCAGCACGUUAUGGUGGGGACUCAGUGGAGACCGCCGGGGUCAACUCGGAGGAAGGUGGGGAUGACGUCAAGUCAUCAUGCCCCUUAUGUCCAGGGCUUCACGCAUGCUACAAUGGCUGGUACAGAGAGUGGCGAGCCUGUGAGGGUGAGCGAAUCUCGGAAAGCCGGUCUCAGUUCGGAUUGGGGUCUGCAACUCGACCUCAUGAAGUCGGAGUCGCUAGUAAUCGCAGAUCAGCAACGCUGCGGUGAAUACGUUCCCGGG